rnacentral:rRNA from 1 species
AUGAAGAGGGCAGGAAACAUUGCUUCCCUUUUUGCGAGACAUGCUCAGAAGACAAGGAAGAAAGCUAGUAUGCCGGAUGUGCAUGGGACCGCGGAUGUGGCCGAAGAGCAAAUAAGAGAAUUUGUGGUUCAAGAGCAAACUCAAGAAACAGUGGUGUCUAUGUCAAAUGUCACGGUUGAGAAAACUCCAGAACCAAUGGUUCGACUUGAAGAUGUCUUAAACAUGAUCCUGGGGAAAGGCCACCCAUUGCUAGUUAUCCUGUCAAUGAUCAAGACGCAGUUCAGAGAGCAUAUAUCCUUAAGGGUGCAUUCAAACCUUAUGCACAUAACUUUGAAGCAAGAAGAAUUGGGAAUAGAGUUCGGUCAUUCAGUCCUUUUUGGCUUCAUAAACAUAGUUGGCUUCAAUAUAGUAUCAAGGAGAAAGCUGCAUUUUACUUUGUAUGCUUCUUGUUCAAAGAGAAAAAAACUCGUGGCAAGGGAACUAAUGCAUUUACUGAUGGCGGUUGGAGAAAUUGGAAUAGAGAUGAUGCUCUUGAUAAGCACGUUGGUGGUGUAA